AGGUGUGUAGUCAAGUGGUUAAGACAUUGAGCUUUGAUCUCAACAUUCGAAGGUUCGAAUCCUUCCACACCUUCCA
rnacentral:tRNA from 1 species